rnacentral:rRNA from 1 species
UACGAAGGGGGCUAGCGUUGCUCGGAAUCACUGGGCGUAAAGGGUGCGUAGGCGGGUCUUUUAAGUCAGGGGUGAAAUCCUGGAGCUCAACUCCAGAACUGCCUUUGAUACUGAGGAUCUUGAGUUCGGGAGAGGUGAGUGGAACUGCGAGUGUAGAGGUGAAAUUCGUAGAUAUUCGCAAGAACACCAGUGGCGAAGGCGGCUCACUGGCCCGAUACUGACGCUGAGGCACGAAAAGCGUGGGGGAG